rnacentral:lncRNA from 1 species
UCUGCUGUCCAGAAGCCCUGCUCCUUCUCUCACAGCGGCCUCAUGCCUCUCUCUCCUUUUCUUCAGGUUCUGCGCGGUGCUCUCUGCAAAAAACUGGACCACACCUCUUCUCUGUUGCCUCACAGGCCCUUUUAAAGGGCUUAAACAACGUUUAAACCUAAUUAGAUUAGGUUUAGGUCUCCUAAACAAGCCAAAUCAAGCCCCUG